ACUUCGGUACAAGUAAGAGUGGCGCACGGGUGAGUAACACGUGGACAACCUGCCCUAUAGUGGGGAACAACCUACCGAAAGGUAGGCUAAUACCGCAUAAGACCACAGUAGCUGCGGCUACAGGGGUUAAAGAUUUAUCGCUAUUGGAUGGGUCCGCGCAUGAUUAGCUUGUUGGUGAGGUAACGGCUCACCAAAGCGACGAUCAUUAGCUGGUUUGAGAGGAUGAUCAGCCACACUGGAACUGAGACACGGUCCAGACUCCUACGGGAGGCAGCAGUAGGGAAUAUUGCGCAAUGGGGGAAACCCUGACGCAGCAACGCCGCGUGUGUGAUGAAGGCUCUAGGGUCGUAAAGCACUGUCGUAAAGGAAUAAUUUUGAAGGUACUUUACAAGAAAGGACCGGCUAACUUCGUGCCAGCAGCCGCGGUAAUACGAGGGGUCCUAGCGUUGUUCGGAAUCAUUGGGCGUAAAGCGGGUGUAGGCGGAACUAUAGGUCAGAAGUGAAAGCCCUGGGCUCAACCCAGGAAGUGCUUUUGAAACCAUGGUUCUUGAGUGCAGAAGAGGAGAGUGGAAUUCCUAGUGUAGUGGUGAAAUACGUAGAUAUUAGGAGGAACACCGGCGGCGAAGGCGGCUCUCUGGUCUGUCACUGACGCUCAGACCCGAAAGCGUGGGUAGCAAACAGGAUUAGAUACCCUGGUAGUCCACGCCGUAAACGAUGGAUACUUGGUGUUGGAGGUAUUGACCCCUUCAGUGCCGUAGCUAACGCGUUAAGUAUCCCGCCUGAGGAGUACGGUCGCAAGAUUAAAACUCAAAGAAAUUGACGGGGGCCCGCACAAGCGGUGGAGCAUGUGGUUUAAUUCGAUGCAACGCGAAAAACCUUACCUGGAUUUGACAUGUACUGGAAGUACUCA
rnacentral:rRNA from 1 species